rnacentral:ncRNA from 1 species
UACCUGGUUGAUCCUGCCAGUAGUCAUAUGCUUGUCUCAAAGAUUAAGCCAUGCAUGUGUAAGCACACACUGUUUUAAAAGUGAAGCCGCGAAUGGCUCAUUACAACAGCCACAGUUUAUUAGAACUUACAAUCAUGGAUAACUGUGGUAAUUCUAGAGCUAAUACACGCACAAAAACUUCAACUGAAUUGGUUGAAGUGCUUUUAUUAGAACAAAAACCGAACGGCGUUUGACGAAUGUUGAACGUCGAAACUGUUUGGUGAAUCUGAAUAACUAUUUCUGAUCGCAUGGUCUAGCACCGGCGACAUCACUUUCAAGUGUCUGCCUUAUCAACCUUCGAUGGUAGUCUAUGCGACUACCAUGGUGAUAACGGGUAACGGAGAAUCAGGGUUCGACUCCGGAGAGGGAGCCUGAGAAACGGCUACCACAUCCAAGGAAGGCAGCAGGCGCGCAAAUUACCCACUCCCAGCUUGGGGAGGUAGUGACGAAAAAUAACGAGACGAUUCUCGUUUGAGAAACGUUAUCGAAAUGAGUACGCUUUACACACGCUAAC